AUUUUCAAUAGAAUAAAAUGUAACACGGUAAAGAAUCACAAUCAGCACGGUAAUCACUAUCUUCUAUUGAAUAUUAAUUGUUUUUAUGCCUAUUAUCUAUGCAUUAAAUUCAUUAUAACUAAGAAACCAUUAGAUAGUUACAUACACUCCCAUAGGUUCCUCAAAUGAAGCAGAGGAUGCAAUUUUCUGUAUACAUAAGUAUAUAGUACAUAG